rnacentral:rRNA from 1 species
UACAGAGGGUGCGAGCGUUAAUCGGAAUUACUGGGCGUAAAGCGCACGUAGUCGGCUUUGCAAGUCGGGUGUGAAAUCCCCGGGCUCAACCUGGGAACUGCAUUUGUGACUGCAUGGCUAGAGUACGGUAGAGGGGGAUGGAAUUCCGCGUGUAGCAGUGAAAUGCGUAGAUAUGCGGAGGAACACCGAUGGCGAAGGCAAUCCCCUGGACCUGUACUGACGCUCAUGCACGAAAGCGUGGGGAGCAAACAGG